rnacentral:rRNA from 1 species
UACGAAGGGGGCUAGCGUUGCUCGGAAUUACUGGGCGUAAAGGGCGCGUAGGCGGAUAUUUAAGUUAGAGGUGAAAGCCCAGGGCUCAACCCUGGAAUAGCCUUUAAUACUGGAUAUCUUGAGUUCGGGAGAGGUGAGUGGAACUCCGGGUGUAGUGGUGAAAUGCGCAGAUAUCAGGAAGAACACCCGUGGCGAAGGCGGCUCUCUGGGACGGUACUGACGCUGAGACGCGAAAGCGUGGGGAGCGAACAGG